rnacentral:lncRNA from 1 species
GGGGCGGGUCCAGUUUUCUAAAUACACGGCCCCCGCCCCGAACCGUAUCCAAUAAACACACACACACAGAGUAUCCUAGACCUAGUCUUCUCGAUCUCUCUUCCUGAAUCCCGAGUCCCGACUCCUCUCAUUUCACGUCUCAGAGCUCGAUCUCUCUUCCUAACUCCACCCCGUUCUCGAAUCGUUCUCUAAUCCCCCUGCAUUUCCAUUGAGCCAAACAUCCUCCAUCCGCUCCAGAGACCCACACAGAAGAACCAUGUCAUUGUUCUUGUACACCUCGAAUUCAACCCCACCGGUGACCCUCACGCUGUCGGUGCUGACGCAUGUCACCUCCGAAGACUCCUUAUCGACCCGAUCGCGGCGGAGCAUGAGUGAGGCCGAGUCCGACGCCGGAACCGGGUCCCAUUGAUUUCAAGCGAUACGCCAAUCUCGCGUCGGAGGUGGCGGAGCGUGAGGUGGUCGGGAACGUUCCCAAUCAUCUCCUCCGUCUGACUCAGACCCAUAUUUGCAGCGCACAACUUUGCUUAUUGUCCUCUUCAGUUUUAAGGUAUUACAUUUUAGGGAUUUAGGAUUGAAAAUUAAAUUAGGGUUUUCUAGAUUUAGGGAUUUUGUUGGGUUCUUGAACCCUGGACCUCUGUUAUUUUCCAAUUUCAAAUCUUUUAUUGAAUUGAAUUUGAAUCGACUGAGUUGUUGAAUUAAAUUGAAUUUGAAUCGAUUGUGUGUGUGAGUAUAUGUAUAUGUAUGUAAGAAUUGAUGUGCAGUGCAUGUAAUUUUGGAAUCUUGUUCGAUCCGAUUGUUAUAAUUUGGAUUUGUUAAUCUAUCACAAAUUUUCGAUUUGAUGUGCAGUGCAUGUAAUUUUCAAAUCUGUUGUUCGAUUCGAUUGUUAUAAUUUGGAUCUGUUGUUGUUCGAUUUGAUGUGCAGUGCAUGACUGCUCUCUUCUUUCCGACAUCUCUCGGAACGAGAG